rnacentral:rRNA from 1 species
CGGCGGACGGGUGAGUAAUGUAUGGGGAUCUGCCCGAUGGAGGGGGAUAACUACUGGAAACGGUAGCUAAUACCGCAUAACGUCGCAAGACCAAAGAGGGGGACCUUCGGGCCUCUUGCCAUCGGAUGUGCCCAGAUGGGAUUAGCUUGUAGGUAAGGUAACGGCUUACCUAGGCGACGACCCCUAGCUGGUCUGAGAGGAUGAUCAGCCACACUGGGACUGAGACACGGCCCAG